UCACUAUGAUGAUUGGUUGCCAGACAUUCGCAGUUUCCACCAGAAAUGUUUUUCCUUAUGUUGGCCAGUUCUUCCUUGGAUGUCUGAGUGAG
rnacentral:snoRNA from 1 species